GAGGUUGUGGCUCAGUGGUAGAGCACUUGCCUUGCAUGCAUGAGGCCCUGGGUUCAAUCCUCAGCACCACA
rnacentral:tRNA from 1 species